rnacentral:piRNA from 1 species
UUUUAUAUUCUUCCCUUGAUUCCUUA